rnacentral:lncRNA from 1 species
CCGCGCGGGCCCAGUCGGGUCGCGGCGCGGUCGGGGAGGAGGUCGGAGUCCGCGCGGCCUGUACAGCAGCCUAGACCGCCUCUCGCGUGGGGACGGUCGCCCAGGCACCAGGCGAAGGACGGGCGGGGCACUGUCCCGCCUCAGCCUCCCCGCGCCUCGCCGCGCGGGUCACGUGACGCAGGCGGCCCCGCGCGCCCCCAGUCGACGCCGCUCAGCUGGCGCCUCGCUUCUGCUCUGACAGCCGGCGUGCGGAGGUCGGCCCGGGGCUCCCGCCUGCCCGGAGCCUGCCCAGGCCGCUGCGCGCUCUUCUGACCCCGAGUGUGCGUGUGCGGGCGCCGGCCCUCGAGUCCACUGGAGAACCCCACACGCUCACAUCCUCAGUUUUAAUGUUUUGGGGCACUGGGGAUUCCACGGGGGUCUUUCCACUGAGCUGCGCCCUAGCCCUUUCUUAUUUAGAGACAGCGUCUCCCUAAGUGGCUAAGUUGCCCAUGCCAGGCUCCACCUGCGGUCUUCCUGCCUCGGCCUCCCGGAGUGCGGGAUGACAGGCGUGUGCACCCCACCCGGCCUUCUCAUUUGCAUCAGGUCCUUGCUAGGUGGCAGGAGGCCUACUGCGUGCGAUGCUGUGUGACUCACUGCCUACCUCAGGAGGUGAGAAGGGGCCUGCACGCAUUCAGCGUAGACCGGAGUUUUUCUCUUACUUUCCACAGGGUGGGUGCGAUCGGAGGGUGCAGAGCCGCGCUGACACGCUCGUGUGUGCGCGUGCUGUGCAUCCAUGCACACGCAGCAGAGAUCACCUCGGACGUCGAGGUCAGCUGGAUACCACGGACACAGGCAGGGGAGAGCUGAGCAAGCUGAAAGGUUGGGGGCAGGCGACCCAGCGUCCACGAGGCCAACGCAGAAGAGCCCAGCAGCGGGACCUGGGACAGGACCCGAGGUUCAGGGCUCUUUGGCCAGCCCGACUCGGCCUCCUGUCAGGAGGGUGUGGAGAGAGCUAUGCCCCAGGGCCCUUGCACAAACGUCCCCUCUUCUGAGGACCCGCCCCUUCCUGGAGCUCCACCUCAGAUGUGAGCACCGGUCCGGAUGGCAUCGAGGGCUUUCCUGAAGCUUGGCUGAGGCCUUUGAGACUGCAGAUGCCGCCGUGAAUGCCUGUGAGCAGAUAUUUGUGUGCCGCUGUCUCCGGCCCCGUGGGGCAUGGGUGGCUCACCCGGCUCUGAGGAAUCACCAGACUCUUUCCAGCAGUGGCUGCGCCUCCAUGGUCUCCACGGGCAGUGCGUGUGGCGCCGAUUUCUCCACAUCUCCAUUUACUUUUUAAAGUUCCCGGCGGCACGGCACCUCGUGGUCAGGAGAGGGGCUGAGGCCCACGGAGAGAAACUCAAGGGCGCAAGUGCACAGCCUGCGGCCAGCAGGGGGCGGGGCCCGCAGCUGGCCCUGCCCUGGGGACCGGUGGGGGUUGCUGUUCUCCGACAGAGCCAAGGCCGUGGUCAGCUCUGGAGAGCGCCAUUAUCCUGGACGUGGGGGACCGGGGUGUGACAGCGAGACAGGACUGGGGCCAGGAGAGGGGGAGCUUAGGCCUGGAUCCGAAGCCGCAGGCAGGAGAGGGCCCUGCGGGGAGGGAGAAGAGGCAGGGUUAGCCCUUCCAACCAGGCAAAGCCGGAAGAGGCCUUCAGGGUGCUUGAGUGUGAGUUAAGUACAGUGUCACUGUCCAGGGGGGUGGGAAAAGUUCCACGAUCAAACAGUUGUGGGAACGCUCUAUAUCAGUGGUGGCAAACCUUUCAUUUCUCCUUUUUAAAUUUUCUGGUUUUCUGAGGCAGGGUCUCUCUAUGCAGUUCAGGUUGGUCUUGAACUCACUAGGUAGCUCAGGCUGGCCUAAACGUGGGGAUCCUCCUGCCUCAGCCUCCCGAGGGCUGGAAUUGCAGGCAUGUGCUACCUUUCAGAGCUUUCAGUGAUAACAAACAGCUGGCUGCAGUAGGUAGGUUUGCCACCCUCCGCCCAGUGCACCUUUCCUCUUGGAGAUCUGCAGUACCCUUUACUCCCCGAGGGCUCUUGGGUGGUGAGCUUUCUUGAACGGGGCGUUUCUCGAAACCAUGUGACCCCGUGUUUUCUUCUCUGCUGUGCCCUCUCUACGCCUGUUAAGUAUAACAGAAUCGACAUCUAGAGCCAGGCGUGGGGGCGCACGCCUGGGAUCCCAGCGCUCAGGAGGCCGAGGCAGGAGGAUGGCUGUUUGAGGCCAGCCUGGGCUACGAGUGAGACCCUGUCUCAAAAACAACAAAACAAAAACCUCCGGUCUGCUUUCCCGGAAGCCCACGGCUAGGGUGACCAGCUGAGGGCAGGGAGGGCGGAAGAGCCGGGAGGAGCGAGUUCAGGCCUUGCCUCGGCAAAGCCCGCCCACCACCGUCUUCCUGCCAUCACACCCGUGUCCCGGGGGCGCCAAGAGUCAAGGCCGGCCCCCACCUGCAAAAGCGAUUGGCUGAGGGAGGGCCACGUGACCAGAGCCGGCCAAUCCCAGUGAAGUUCAGGCCUGUAUAGGGCUGCUGCGGGUGUCAGGAAGCCCUGAGUCUCACAGAAUGUGGAUGUGGAGAGGAAACUGAGCUGAAACAGGGGCUGGCUGAGAAAAAAUUCACAAAGUUAUGAUCACAGAACUGUGAUCAAUGAAUAUUUGAACCCCUGGAGAAAUGUUCAGUGUACACUGUGCUCAGCUAUGUAUUCCAGGCUGGCUGUAAACUUGCAGCAAUCCUCCUGCCUCAGCCUCCUGGAUGCUGAGAUUACAGGUGUGCACUACCACGCCUGGCUAUUGUGCAUGAAUUCACCAGUGGAUUAAAUGCUUCAUGAGAUGAUCUCAAUCUAAGAUAUGCAUGCGUUCAUGAGAUAUCAGUAUACAUGGAGAGCAUGUGUGGACACAGCACCUACGCCCAAGUUGCACUUUUACUAUCAUGAAGAGAAAGAGCCUAUGUGCAUUGUUCAGGGUGCUUUCCCACAGCCCCGAGGCUGGAAACCUUGUCGUUCCCAUCUGACUGAGGAGGGGGAGCUCAGCUUUCUGCAAGGCGCCAAGGGUGAAUGUUUCAGCUCCGAGUGCCCGGCGGCCCUGCCACACGAGCCCACUACCCCCGGCGGCAGCAGGCAGCUCUCCAGGCCGUGCUCCAGUGACACUUUGUUCGUGGGCCCAGGCAACUUUCACGUGGCAGCAGGAGUCUUCUUUCGUCCUUCCCGGCAACCAGGUCGAGCGCACAGCCCACCCUGCCCUCGGGUCCUAGCCUGGCAGGUGCCUCAGGCAUGGACAGUGCGCAGCGUCUGUCUCAGCAUGUCUCUGCUCAGAGUCUGGAGAUGCCCCCCAGGAAGGAGCUGUCCCUGGUCAUGGCUGGCGUUGUGGC